AAUAAAACCAUAGGCUCCUGGCAUCAGGAAUACCUAAAGAUUUUGAUUUGAUUCCCUUACUUAGGUCGGCAUUUGGUUCCUUCCUCCACCCUUUGCUCUCCAUCUGGCCUCCAUUGUCUGCUCACCCUGAGCGACAGGUGGUAUUGUUCCCACAGAGACAGUUGCCGGGGUGGCACGCUCCUGAGGGUGUAGACUGUGCGCACACGCACACGCAAACAACAGACACUUUACCAACCUGCUUCCUGUGUGUGUGUUCCUGUCAGACGGGCGGUGUCGCGCCAGGAAGUGCGCCGUCUCAUCAGGUCAGGUUGCCGCUCUGCGGGCGGGCAGGUGUCUCGAGUGUCCCACGUGAAGCAGACAUGACGGAGUAUGUAGAAUCAAUCCCCCUGAUUUCCUGCAAAUGUAAUAAAAAACCUUCAAAUGUGUACAAGGGGAUGUUUUAUUGAGGUUUCAUGGUUUAUAUUUGAUUUCCUAAGACCCUGGACAAAUAUGCAAGAAAAGCCAGAGCUAAUCUCGAGGUUUAAAGAAGAUAAAGAAAUCAACUCUACAUUACAGAUAAAGCUUUCUAGAUUGAUUAAAUACAUAUUUGUUUGGAUGUACCAGGACCAAACGGAGCCGAAAAGGUCCAUAAAAUCCCAGACCAGCUUGUGCAGAAUAAUCUUAUUCUGUAUGCAUUUCUCUUUAACAGACCAGCGAUACAGCUUUAAGCAAAUCUGUUAGUUACCACAAGUCCAUGAUAAAAAAGCUCAUUUAAAAAACAGAAAAGAUGUUUAUGAUAUAUUGCGCUGAUAUUUAUGACUCUUCAUUGGGCCAAGAUUUGAGUUUGUCAACACUUUUGUUGACGACCAAAUGUCUGCAAAACUGGUUACGUCCCCAUCAGCCUCAGCUUUACGUUCAGGUUUGACUUGAAAAAGCAGGUGUCCUAUCAAGAGAGUGACAAACUGUGUUUUUCCACCUAAACACCGACAUGUGACAAUACUGGUGCUGGCACACAGUUCACAUUAUCCUAUCACCCAUCGUUUUUCAUUUAUCGAAACUAAAUCAAAGCCAACCUCAUAUUGAGAUUUUACCACAGAGUCAUGACAAAGCACCACAGUAGCUCCGUCUUUGUUUUUUAACACUGAACCAUACUUGUGCAUUAUUACUACCCCUGUGUGUGAUUUUGCACAGCCAUGUAGAAGCAACAGAGAUGUGAAGUAUGAGUAAAGGAGUUCACGCUGCAAACCAGAAGGUGCCGUUCCCUGCAUGCUCCGGAAACAAGCCCUUUACAAAAAAAAUAAAGUCCACAACAAAGCUUUGUUGUUAUCAUGCGUUUGUACUUCGUAGUGAUCUUGCAAUGGUGUCAUUUUGGUUCUCAGUGUGUUGUUUCAAAAGAGCUAGGGUUGUACACACACACACACACCAAUCGCUGUUUCGCCCUGCCAGCUCCCCCCACCUUACUGCCUCUUUACUUUUGACACAGAUUGUGAGACAUAACAGCCUAGCCUUGGACAUAUUAUGUUCAAGAGGCUAAACUCUGCCCACAUCAAGGUUUCUGGCUGAAAAAAGUUAAACCUGGCUUGACUUUUCAUACCGCACAUUGUAAUCCAGGAUUCUCCAGGGACAAAUCAUACUUGUGGGAGUGGGAGUGGACAUUUCUGGUGGAUGACUUUUCAUGUAAUUGUCAUAAUAACUCAUGUCAUGACUUUCCAGCUAUUGAGUCCAGAAUUAAAGAUCCUUCUUGGGUCAUCAUGAUAUUAGUUGGAGGAAAAAGUAAGCAUAAUAGGACGUAAAUAUAAAUCAGCCCAACAGGAUAGAGGACAACAUAGGAGCCUUCAAAUGUCGUAUUGUUCUGUAAAAGUACCAAGGACUUAUGUAUUAUAUAAGCUCUGUGCUGUAUUUAAAGCGCCUCUAAGGAACUUUAGACACAGUUAGCAUUAUUGUGGCUAUAGAGUGGCUCUUUGGUUGAGGUGUGUGUGUGGAGUGGGAGACCGCUGUGUAUUGCUAUCCUGCGAUCAUUACUAAAGUUGGUAUAACUAGAGACGCAAGCGGUCUAACCUAGUCAUCUACAUGGUUCAAAUAUACUUAUUAAAAAGUUUCUUUGGUCAAAAAAAGAAAGAAACAUUUUUGACUGACAAGUGUAUCAUUUAAUGUAAGUAUUUUUGUGGAAAUUGUAAAAUCGACUAGUUUUCUUCAGCUGCUUGGCGAACAAUCCCCACUGGCCCUGGUUCAGACAUUGACAAUUACAGCAUAAAAUCCUUCGUCAUGUUGCCAAUGGUCUCGUUUGCUUUAAGAUAUCAUAGUAAGGCAUCAGUAUGAAUCUGAGUCUAUUUCAUAAAUACAAAAAAAGUCAUCACUGGAUCUCUUGUCUUUAAGGAUCACGCUGUUUCCUGUCUUGCAGUUUGAGAAAAACGGUACGAGUGUCUCUAUAAGAUAUGUUUUGGUCUGUGAACGUAAAUAUUUCUUGUCUCCUUCUCAUCUUCAAACUCCAGCUCACAUGAUUUACAGGGAAAAAAACUAACUUAAAUCCUCCAUAAGUGGUGUCCGGAACCAGAAGAGUACAUUAUCAAGUUUUUAAGUGAAUGCAUACAAAUCUAUGGGGGUUAAUACAGUUAAUAGGAUUCAUUUAGUGAUUUAUGUGCGGACUUAAAUUGCUUUGAUAAGAGUUAAAUAAUCAUUCUUAAGAGUUGUAGACUGUGUGUGUGUGUGUGUGUGUGUGUGUGUGUGUGUGUGUGUGUGUGUGUGUGUGUGUGUGUGUGUGUGUGUGUGUGUGUGUGCUGCAGCCAGACUGACUGUAUGCUGUCAGUGCUCAUUAGGAUAAUGACUGUGGGACCUGGCAGGUGUCCAAACUUAAAGAGAGGGACGGUCGGAGGGGGGAGGAGGGCUGCAAGCAAAAAGAGUUAUAAUGGCUUUGGGGGGUGGGGGUGAUGUUUAAUGGGAUCACAUUUCAUCCACUCGCACUCCCUUUACACACACACACGCACACACACUCACACACACACAUUUUGUUAGUUAUAAACAGACAAUGACAGUGACAAACAUUUAUGCUUCGGCUAACACAGAUCAGCAUAAAUUGUGAAGUACAAAAAGACAAACAAACUGUAAAAUUUAGGAGUCGUUUCCCUCCUCCUCAUAUCAUCAGGGCAGCUACGGACACAUGGUUUAUGUUACAGUUCGUCUGUGAGGUCGCCUACAUGUUCUGGGCUUUUUACAGACUCUGCAACAUUCGAACAGGAGAACUGCUUUUGACCUCUCACUUCAACAAAGUUCAGACUCCAGCUAAAAGAUUUUAUUCAUAAUAAUCAAAUACUUGAAGAAAAAAGUAUUUUUUUAAUACCAUUUGGCAACGAUUAGACUCUUUAUUUUAACAUCCAAAUCAUCUUACUGACAAAUGUAUGUCUGCAUCCACUGUUUUUGGUCACAUGCUUCCUUUUAGCUCACUAUUAUCAGGCUAUUUCCUGGUUGAGCUACCAUGUCAUGUACUAAAACAGUCAACAAACGCGUAAGCAGCAGGCUAACGGUUUUACAUUGACCAAUACAAACACAAAACACCUUUAAUCAUCUGUUAGAUUAAAGCAUAUUCCUCUUUUUUCUUUUGUCCCUUCUUUUUCUGUCGACUUUUAAUUUUAUUACAUGGCUUCCUAUCAAUGCAUCUAUGUUCAAACUCCCAAACUCCUCAAAAGUUGAUGCCAGUUUGUGUUUAAAUGACAAUAAAACAAAUCAGUGUCUAAUAAAUUAAAAGAUGAACGUUCAAAGAAAAGGGCUGUGAAAAGAGAUUUGUAAAUCUUGACCUGAUUCCUUAUUUUCUUCAGAUUUUUAUAUUUUCAAAGAAUUUUGGAUUGAAAACUUGAGAUUGCAGCUGAAACGUCAACAGUAUAUAUGUAUUGCUGCGUUCCAGUUGUACUUGGAAGUCGGGAUUUCCAAGCUCUGAGUCAGAAAUUCAUCGGGAACGACCCCCUGAAGUCAGAUUUCCGAAUCAGAAAGUUGGACGAUCCGCACCGACCCCAACUUGACGACAACGUCAUAAUCCAAGAUGGCAGCGCAGUGCAUUAACAGUCAAGAGUAACCGCGAAAACUCUUGUAAUGUAUUAUUUAUUAAAACUUCUGUUUUGUUUUUGUGUAAUUAGAUAAGGGUUAUAUGUUGUACUGCCUAACGUCUAACUGUGAACACAGUGCUAUGGUGUUUGUAAGUGUAAAAUACUGUGUUUUGCGUUGUUUACAACUGGUAUAGCUAACAACAACUAACAACAGCUGACAACUGCUAACAACAGCUAAUAGUAGGUGUCUAUCUUGGUUUUCCAACUUGUUUACUGGAACGCCAUUAUCUCGGGUAUAACCUCAUUCCCAGCUCCGACAUCCAACUUCUGAGGUAACUGGAACGCAGCAUAUGGGUGUGUGUGUUUAAAAGGAAAGGUAAAUCUAAAUAUACUGUCCUUUUCUUCAGAUCGCAGUAAAACAACUGACUUUUGGUUUCUGUUGAUAAUAUAUUUAUUUACCUAUUUACCCCCGGAACACUGAUCAGUCAUGUUGUGACAAGUCAAGAGACAAGAUUCACUCGGACACAAACAGUCCUGUUGGAACACAGUGAAGCUGAAGUCCAAAUAAGAAGGACAAAUGUGAAACUCUAGUCCUCUCCCUGAUGGCUUUGAAGCAGCUGUGCGGAGCCUGUGUUAGGUGGCAUGUUUGUCACAAAAUCCCUCACUCAGGAGGAUCAAGGGCGUUUGUCUCACACGCAGACAUCACACGUGUCUGAGGACAAAGGGAAUAAUCCAGUCAGAAUGAAAGGUCAGAGUCGGGGAGCGGCUCAGAUCUGUGAAAGACGGGAUGGGUCCAGAAAAGAGAUUCACAAAGAGGUUCAAGAGGAACAGAUUACUGUUGACAGGCCUAGAGGAGGAAAUAUGGCCUCGUAUGGGAACAACAUCUAUCUUCACUAACUUUUGAUAGAAUAUAAAUCAAAAUUAUGGCACUUAUGGGGAAACGACUUGGCCCAGUGGGUAAUUUGCAUACCCUGUGGGGAGAGGCAAAUGGAUGGUCCGGGUCUGGAUGUCACUCACGACUGUCAGUCUAGCUUUGUCUACAGCUCUGUCUGUGUCCUCGCCAGGCAAGUUAUUGACAGACCUCUGUUAAAGUAGGUGCAUGCUUUCAGCUUGUUACUUGGUUGUCUCUCAGUUGACCCAUUAUGUAUCAAACAAUCAACAAACACAUAAGCUGGUAGCCAACACUAAGUACGGGAAAUGAUGUAAACACUGUCACUUCAACAGCUCUGUAUCUUUGAGUCUUAUUAUAAGACAGUUUUAUCUCUUUUUUAUACCCUUUCCUAUUUUGUUUAAAGGUUUUGUUUACUAAUUUGCUUUCCAGAGACCAUAGACUGUAUAAUAACUAGAUGAAGUGUCAGCGCUGUCACCUGUUUGUUUCUAAAGCAGUGUUUUUAGGCCUAUUGAUCGUCGACUCCAUAUUGGAAAUGCUGAUUUAACCUUACUUUAAGUCAUGGCUACAGUGUGCCCGCCUGUCUAUCAAGUCAGCCACACCUCUGAUUUGCCAGUAUUGUACCCUUAAUAUCUUGAAAAUGAACACGUUAAAAAAAAGUUAUUACUGUGGGAGCCCUGAGUUAUUCAGACCUCUCUUUUUAAACUUUUUUAUCUCAGUCUUUAUUUGGUUUCUGGUGCUACUGCAAUCUGAAGGCGGCACUCAGAACUGUAGUCUUUAGCACUCCCAUAAUACCUUUAUUUCUUUACAUAGAAGAGCCGGAGCUGCUUGCUAGCAACACAUCUGUGCUGUCAACUUUUGGGCUGAAGCCCGGUCUGCAAAUUCUGUCUGAAUUCCUAAGAACAAUUGACGUAACGACAGAAUGAAACUGAUACAGAGAUUGUAUUUAACUGGGAUGAAGGUAAUGGGAUGCUUCAAAUGUGCAGCAGGCCAACAUGAGAUACCAUUAGGCCUUCAUCAAACAACGCAACUUAUUUGACAGGUUGUGCACUUAUCUGUGAACAUUUUGACGGGUGUGUAAGGGAACGCAGCUCACCUGCUGUUCUUGAGCAGAGCUGCAGGAAAGUGAUCUGUGCCUCGAAACAAAGGAGUUGGGGCAGAGGGGGGUCGGUCCAUUAGCAGGUUAAUGCAGAGUGCGUGAGAGAGCGCGGGAUGGUGCGUGUCCUGUGCACAUUGGAAGCAGAUUGUGAGGUUAUGGGUGGGAGCCUUUUCUUUACCCCAUACCCAAGUCAAAUGUUUUUUUCUAGCACACCUUGCUCUGAGAGAAUAGUGGAGAGGUUUCCCAGGAGAGCUGACCUCUCCCUGCCGGUGGGAACCUAUUUGUCUCCUUUCCUCUCUCUCCGCCCGGCUCUGAAAGGAGGAUGCUUUAACCUACGCUACACUAACUAGAGAUCGUCUUAAAUUUCACCUUUUACCAGAGUCCCAGGAGGAUGCGCUCGACUUUCUCAGGUUGAGGAAAACAUGACAACCUUUUCUAAACAGAAUGAGCUGGACAGAAAGGACUUUGACAUGUGUUUGAAAGGGAGCAACAGUAUUAAUUUACUGAGGCUGAGAUUUAACUCUACACUGUGCACUUAGCCGAGGUAAAGGAAAUAUAUACACUCAGAGAUACAUAGGGAACAGAAAUUAUGAGCUGAGUUCAGAGAGAUAUUAUACAAACUAGAAAUUAAAUUGGUAGUCAUGAAAUACGGGUGUUAAAACUAUAAACAAACUAUGCUGCAAGUGUCCCUUCAGUCUAGUGUCAUUUGUGACCUCCAGAUUGAAUUUGUGUCACAUUUUCCUUUAUCUUUCAAAAGUCAAAUUUGUUUUGAUCCUAUAGUCAGCACCUCAGCCUGCAACACCAAACUUUGCCUCCCAGGCCCUGUCCACACUUAGACAGAUAUUUUAAUACGUACACUCGAUGCACAGUACAAAGACUUAUGUUUGCUGCUGGCUCAGUAAGAUGGUCUGUAUGUAUGAGCACAGAGUUCUUCUAUGGUGCUUUGACUUUAUAGACUGAAUACACAUUAUUGCCUCAUACUUGUCUGGCUCCCUUAAAAGUGUUUCAGCUCUGUCAUAUGUGCAGAGGAAUAAUUUUAAAAGAUUUAAAAGAGACACUAGGGAAUUUUUUUUAGAAAAUAAGACAUUAAGUGUGUGGGAAAUUUUUACAGAUACAUCCACACACCAAACAGGAAUGAUUAAAAACUCACUUAAAUGUGUAAUCAGUCCACAACAACACAACAAAGCAGGACUGAUUAAAAACUCACUUAAUUGUGUAAACAGUACAUUACAACAUUCCAAAACAGGACUGAUUAAAAACUCACUUAAUUGUGUAAUCAGUACAUUACAACACACCAAAGCAGAACUGGUUAAAACCUCACUUAAGUGUGUAAUCAGUCCAAAUUAUGAAAACCCCACUGAAUACUGUGCUCAUGCGUAUACAGUGACUUCCUGAGUGAGUAGCAGUUGUUCACAGCUUUCUUUGAACUUUUGACCAUGACAUACUUUUCUGUCCAACACAGCAGUGUAAGGAAUUAAUAAACUAGUUUUCUUAAAAUUUUACAGUACCAAGACUUAAACGAAUCUGUAGCAUGCCAUCUUGGUGGUGGCAUAUGAUACUUAAAAUGUGCAACAGCAUUUACCGAACUUUUAGCUUUUUCCGUUCUGAGCCUCUGCAGAUUCGGUGGACAUCUGAUUUAGUGUUCAGGGUCAACCAGCUUUGAGAUGACGACAGCACAAACUGAAUGUGGUUCACACUGUCUGACUCUGAUGUGCGGCUCUGAUGUGAGACCAUUAAAUUUAAUGCAAGGGCUGUGGUUUAACUUAAAGAAGGACUAUUUUUAGCACAAAACUGCAGUCAUUACAACAAAGUUUCUUUUUCCAAGCUGCAUUGGUGAGAAAGUGACUCAGAAUUCCCAGAUGACUCAAACAACUGAGGCACCCUAACCCACAAGCUGCAUUUAGGAACAGAUGGAGUUUCAUUGGAGUAAAGUAAGGACAGGGCUUUUAUAGAUUUAAUAAACAGGGGGGAUAAUAAUCAGCGUUAAGUUUUAAAAUACAUUUAGUGUACUGACCCACUGAGCAAUAGACGGCUAUUAGACGUCUAAUUUUUUUAAGACCUAAUUUCAACGUCUAGAUUCUGCAUAUUUUCAGACUGAAUUUGGAUGUUGCACUUUAACCCAUUAUUAGAUAACUACUUAUUUCAAAAAGCAACUGUGAGUUGCAUAACUGAUCUCCAGUCAAAAACCAGUCAAAACGUCAAAAUUUGAAUCUGUUCCUCGGCUAAGCAUGUUGAUAUCAUCUUGAUGAAUAACAAUGACAGAAGCAUAUGGGCCGCAAUUCAGAAUAACAAUGUGAAUAUUAUAUCAGUCAUUUCUACAACUUUAAUUUAUAUACAAUAAAUACAGACAUCACUAGUUAAAAUCCCACUGUUAACUAAGUAGUAUGUUCCAAAACUUUGAAAACAGUCCCUGAAGGCUCCAACCAUCUUACACAGGAGAUUUUAAAAAAGUGAACCUGGUGAUGGUGUUUCUAUUGUGUAUUUGGCUGUUAAACACUGUAAAUAAUAUAGUGCACUCAGAUACCGAGGAAUGGACACCUGAAUCAUGAGUUAUCAAAAAUCUGAACAAGUUUCAACAUUAGGCCUUAUUCUGCUGCAUAGACAAACACAAACACACUCACACACUAACACACCUCCUUGUUUAGAAAAUCUAAACAAGGAGCUGAAAAGACAGAGAAACUAAAGAUGAGGACAAUUGUCGUUGCAUCCCUGGAGAGUUCCUGCAGUCAUAUCCCUUCCUCAGACAGGAAGUCACACAUAGUGUUGGCCAAACGGAAAGAUACAAGGGGUUCCCUGAAGGAAACCUGAGACAGCGGGACACCGGAUCACUGAGGGGACCUGGGCCUCUUUCUCUGUAUCUGCAGGUACAAUGGGACCUGCUGCACUAAGUACUAUUCACCAGAGGUAAGGGAUAUAAGGCCACCGUGUAUGGUGGAUAAAGUAGGCAGGUAAGUAUCCACUGCUCUUUAUUCAGAAGGCAUUAUGUAAUGUGGCACAGGAAGAAAAGAAGGAGAUCCCAAAAACAACAGUGUCACUUUCACCUGCAGGUGAUGUCAUUGAACAUGGAGAGGUUUUUACAGAGCCUAAGGAGGAGAGUCUCAUGCUUCAUUUGAAUAAAGGGAAAUAUGAGUUAUGGCACCACUGCUCAACUCCAAAGCACUAGGUAAGGCUCUUGGCCUGUUUCCCACAUGAAUUUCUGACACAAUAUUCAGAAUGACAUAACAAUUAAAACAUUGUUAUUUGUUCAGCUUUAAUUUGGUUUUGAGCAAGGACCUGUGUAUCCCUGCAUACACAAUCUUGUGUUGUUCAUUUUCUGUCAUAUGUUUUUAGCUACUUUUUGAACCAUUAAAACCUUUGCAAGCUUGUGGUGUACAUAUGUCCAUUCUAGUUAAUAGCUCCUGUUCAGUCCUUUUCUCAUAUCACCUUUAACCAAAGCUGUCAUAUGUUUUUGUUGACUUGUAGUGGCUCAUCAAUGAACUUUUUUUGACUCUUAUAUAACUAUCACUUUUUGUAUUCUGGCACGAAAAAACAUUACAAGACCACUUUUUGAGAAUCUUGCUGCGCUUGCACUCUAAGAGGGUGAUUUGUUGUUUGUUUGUUUGUCUUCAGCUUUGCUUCUUCUUGAAACUUCCCAAAGCUGUGUCUUUGGCGCAAGAAGAGUCCAAAUCUUAUUAGAGUUUAACAGUUUAACACCUUUUAAGCUUCUUAUUCAGAUAAACAAUUACAGAUGUGUGGCAUUUUGUUCAAACCCACAUGGUAGUGUCUGUUUUUACCUGUUGGGGUCAGGUCAAGACAAAAAUACUAUACGGUGAAGAAAAGGAAAAACGUCCAAUUAGAUUAUUUAAAAUACUUAUCAACAUUUAAAACCUUGAAUGCACCUCUUUAUUUCUAUUUUCCUAAAUGAAGUCACUGUCAGCAUCUAAUGUUGCCCUGAAAGGUUAGCAAUACAGCCUCAAACACAUGAGCAGGGCACAUGAUCACGUCUGUGAGAUCAUGAGGUUCAUGUAAAAUGUUUUUGCUGAACACCUUGAGAAUGAGAUUACGGUGUUUUAUCAUUUUAAACCCCCCUUAAGUCAACUGUAACCUUUAUUUGAUCAGCAAAACCAUCCAUAGUUGCCUCUGAAACACACAAAGGACGUGUUUCUGUUAAUUAUCGUAUAAUGAGUUUGUUCUCCACUCUGUGUGCACCAUGAACAGCAGUAGCAUGGAUUUUCCCUCCACUUUUCGCUCACUGAUCCCACCACGCUGUCUUUCAUGACCAUCCAGUUAAGCCAUUGCAAUCCUUCACUUUGAUUAGCAUUUGAAAGUUGUCGUCUGCAAGUACCUUUCCCCACCCAGGUGGCACCUCUCACUUUUGCGUCAAACAAACAAGACAAUCAACUUCACCUUUGUCUUCGGGGAGAAAGUAAUCAUGUCCAUCACAUCUCCACAUUCUUGAAUAGAUAAGGUAUUCAGAUACAUGUCUGACUGAGGUCUGGAUAGCUAAUGAGGCUCUACUUAUCACAGCUAAACAAGCACCCUAUUGUAAUGUAGGCCAGAGCAUCAGUUGUCAUUAUAAGGUGUUGCUGACAACUCAGUAAUAACCUGAGAUCCCUGAAGAGUAAUCUGAAUGUUAAUCUGUGUUAUCUCUGGAUAAACGCAUAUACUCAACUAUGGUCAAAGACAUCAAAAAGAAAAAAAACACAGAUUAAAGACAAACCCUUUUUUUCAACUCUGGCUCUCAUUUCAGCUGUUGGUUAAAUAUUCAGUUUAAUGUAUUUGUACAUACUAAGUUGGACCUUUUUUGCAUUAUAUUUAUUUUCAACCUCAAACUAAGACAUUUUCAUAAAUUUUAUAAUUAUCUAAUCAUUUUGCAUUGUUUUAUCAUUACAUGCACUUUUUAUGAAGAAACACUGUAUUUUCAAACUUUGUCAUAUACAGUGUUUUAUUUGGCAGGAUGAGUGCCAUGUGUAUUAUUUUACUUGUAUUAUUUCAAUCUAGUUAACCAUGUUCUUAAUUUUUAUUUUUGACAUUUAAUUUUAUUGUUUCGUUUUCGUUUUAAUCCCUACAUUUGACUAUAAAUUAUGUUAUCCUUAUGGAUUGUUAUUUCACAUUUGAAUCAGAGGACCUCAGGAAAAGUAGUUGCUUCCUUCGCAGUGGGUAAUGAAGAUCCAAAUAAAUAAAUGUAUUAAUUGAUAAAUAAAUAAAUCAGUACGGAAAACCUUAUCAAAAUCAAAACAUAAGUCAUUUAAAUUCAAUUAGAAUACUUUAUAAUUUCUUCAUAUUGCCAUCAUGAAAAGGAGGCUUGACUAUAUACAAGUAUUUUUUUCCUGUCUUGAAGGUGGUAGUCUCACUCGGCCUUACUAGUUGAUAGUGUGUGCUAAUGUAAACUCAUUAUUUUCCAUGCGCAGAUGAAAACAUCAUUCUUGGGGGCAUCUGUCACAAAGGAGGGAGGGUUGCAUUUGCAUUAAAAGUCGUCUCUACAAACACAAUGGAUGUACAUUUAUGAGUAAAGGGUGUGACUCUCUUUGUCUUCACUUGAAAAACCUGCUGUUUCUGUUUUACAGUGCUUUUACUCACAUUAAAGGUAUUUCUUUGUCUACGCUGACUGCAGGCAUGUCCAGGCAUGUUCUGCAGGGUUAAAAUACCUUAAACAAGGUCCUUUUAACUAAAACAACUUAAUGAAUUUUGAAUUGAAUCAUGGUUUUAACUACAUAAUAAUAUAAAUAACCACAGGGGUUGAUUUUUGUUGCACUGUAAAAUCGCUCAUAAGGAGGUUUCCCGACUAUAAACUGCUUAAUAUUGUGGUAAUUGUGCGUGGAUUUAACUACAAAAGUGUCAUGAAAACACAAAUGGUUCAACAUGUUGUUUACACAUCUACGAAAAAACUUUAAAUACACUCACAGUACUACCUGUGUGGAUAGAAAGAAUUAUUUUUUCCCAUCAUUUGCCUGGUUGACGUUGACAUCGCGUGUUACAGUGGCGUGACACUGAGAACAGGCUGCGUAAAAGAGGCUACACGGCUUGGUUGAUAAAUCGCAUUACUAGAUUGCAUAGACAAGACGUUAGUGUGGGUAAAUGCCAUGCAAGUUUGUUGAAUUUUUGCAGUUUGCUCAAAGGAUUACUGAUACAUUUACGGCAGACAAUAGAUCAUAAAUAGUGUCAAAAUUAAAUCCAGGAAUGCAUCGUACCACAUGGGUUGAUGACAUAGCAGAAGACCUGGGUAUCUAGCUUUAAUCUUCUUGUAAAGCUACGGUUCAUGCCAGCAAAAGUAAGGAUUAUGUUUUCAUGUUUAGUUGUCUGGUAUGUGUUGGAAGUGUUCGAGAUAUGACAGAACAUAACUUAAAGUUAAGUCUGUGUGAAGUAUCGUUUGGACAAAGAGGGUUGACCUGUACGUCCUGUUGCACUGGAGACCAGAUUCCAGUUUCUGACUCAGCUGUGGUUCCACACCAUAUAAGAAAAGGGAUAUGGAAGGUUAACACGAACAGGGGUUUUUCUCACAUGACUCAGUUUCUUUGUGACUCACUUCUGAUUUCUAGUUAAACUGUGUCGUGGAGUGACUGUGGGUUUAGGUACUUUUGCCCGGGUGUUAACAAGAAGGACAGGAGGGACUUGCUCGACUUCACCGUUGCAGGUUCACAGUCAAAGUGAUGAAGCACAAAUUUGGAGGAAAAGAACUGGUUGACUAACAUUUUGGUUAGGCGGUGUCAAAUACAUUUUCUUAAUCAAUAUAUGUCCUUUUAUUCAUAUUCAUUGGUUUUCUUUCUCCUUUCUUUUAAGCCUUUUUUAUUUUAACAUCUCAUGCUGACUGAUGUUGUCCUGUUUUUCUUUCCUGUCAUGCCAUUUUUGUGUCUUUUAAUUUAAUCCUUUCAUCUAUGACCCAGAAGUCACCAAAAACAAAAUGGAACGAUAUUAGACUGAAUUUAAAAUCAAAAAUCUCUCCAAGUGACUGACUAAAGUGUCAGCCAUCCUAAUUCCUUGUAUCUUAACUCGGGUCAACGCCUGACACUGACAAAUGCAGGUUUUCAUCGACUGAAGCUGUGGCAUAGGGUUGUCUUUUCUCAAGGAUAGCUCGAUAAAGGGAGCUGUUUCAGCAAAACGCUCAAGCCAAGACAUUCUCCAAAAGGAAUGUAGACACAAAAUUGGACCCGUCCACUUGUUGAUGAUAAUGAGUAAAACUCCACAAACUUGAAGCCAGAGAGCUCCUGAUUCAAUGAAACUGCUCCAUCAACCUGCUGAAAUACUUUGUCUAAACAAAUGAGCUGUUUAAACAACCCAGAGGUCAUUUUCUCUUAAGAGCCCUGACCAUCAGGAUAUACUGUAUAUACUUAAAAUCCUUGCUAGAUAGAUAUAGAUAGAGAUAUUUAUAUACCAGUUGAUGUCUAGAGGGUAUUUUCUUGAAAGUCAUUUUAGACCUUUAUUCAAAAGUUUUGCUUUCAUUUCUUAUGUUGUUGUUUUUCCUAACCUUUUCAGCAAACCCUUUCUGAUCAAAUCAUCUGUGGUGUCAACAAAAAUUCCCAAUAGGAAGAUAAUUCUUUGUUUAAUCUAUGAAAACACACAUACAGACUAUACUUGUAUCUACAUCUGGCUCCUGAAAUAGUGGGCAACCUGUCCAGGCUCGGUUUCAAAUCUGUACAUCAGGUCUAAAUAUAGGUACUUUUUCUGAUUAAACACAAAGCUAAUCCAAAUGUAGACAGCUUAAAGAAUAAACACACAAUAACUCAGAAGUCAGGUAUAAGCAGGGCUUUCCCGAACCCUUUCUCUAGAUUUAUUGCUCUAUUAAUCUUCUCUUUAUCUGACUUAUCAACAAAAGUCCAAACACCGCAACAUAUAGUUCAUCGCAAACUGCACGAGUUAGGGCAUUAAACUUUUUGUUGAGUUGUCGAAGUUAAAAUAUCCAUCUCCAUCUAAACAAACAGUGAACAAACAGCCUUAUUUGAAUCUGUCUUUGCUCUGUCAUCCCUCAUUUACUCCUGUCACUCUCUUCUCUAACCCCUCAGUAUAUCCUUCCUCACCUUCCUCCGUGGUGGAUGUUGGAUGUGAUUCAAUAUCCUGGAGUCAACAGGAGACUGGGUCUGUGUUUAUUCUUGUUAGGCCGCAGGUGAUGCAGCUGUUCUUAAAGCGAACUGAAAGCUGUUGAAUCAUACGGUAAAGAAGGUCAGGUUCCCAAGCUUUCAAAUCACACACCACUCUGCACAAUACAAAAUGUCCAAAACAUUGAAGAAAACAAUUAUGUGUCUCUACAUAGUGAGAGUCUGGGAUAAAGAAGCUUUGUACUUUAAUAGUACGUCUUCAGAGGAACAUAAGAACGCAUAUUCACAGCGUUACUUCCCAAUAAUCAAGGGUGGCCAUAUUCUGAAUCCCCAAAAAGAAGACACUACUAUGCGGAACAGAGUUGCGCGCAAAAUUUUAGGGUUUUUUUCAGGUCCGGUUGAGUGUUUUUACACGCUUCUAACACAGUUGGUCCACGGUGCACAAACUCAAAACUUCCAUACAAAACCCUAAACGUUUAAAGGAUUUUAUAAACUCCCCAAGACAGCCCCCAAAAAGAGGACAUAUAAGGGUAAAAGAGGACAGGUCUGGGUACCCCAAAUAAUCCUGUUUCCUGAAGUUCUUAAGUUUCUAUUUCUGGUGCUGAAAUAGUGGUGAUUUGACUUGGUCUCAUCAUUUUCUCUCAAUGACAUUCAGUCAAAAGACAACAUGCAAAGUGAAUAUUAAUGUUGGGUUGUGAAUUUGCAGUAUGAAAAGGACUUUGGUUUGUUUGAUGUUUUGGCUUUCAGAACGCGUUAGAUGGUCGGCCGUGCGCAAUUUUCUUUUAACACUUUCUUCCUUGUACAACAGAAAUCGCUGCAGGUCUUUAAAUCCAUAGUAAGUAAAGAGCUGGCUAUCUGACAGUUUAAGUACCACUCUGAUUACCUUGACUCAAUCUGGGUCGAUUUGUGAGACCACCAAAUGACCAAAAUCAUGGGCAUGUGCACCGACUCCAGCUAAACUCCCAUGAUUUUAUUCAGAUUUUGAAGAACUGUCUAUGACUUUAAAAUCACCUGAAUAACCAGGUAAUGUAAGCCAGUAUAAAAUGUCUAAAUCAUUAUCUCAACAACGUAAUUUUUUUUCUGAAGCAGAAUUUUGAAGCUUAUCCAUAGCAGUUGCCAUAUUGGAAAUGGCGACUCUACUCAACGUUUGGUUGCCUUAGCAUGAGGCAAAGAGGCAAAAAUUAAUGAUUUUUGAGGACUUUGUGAGCCAGUCUCAAGAAGGCAGUUGAGAAACGGCAGGGUUUCUCACUUUUGCAUGAGUCUCAAUUUUUGGGACUGGAGACUACUGCUUGCUGGAGUCACUUUGAAAACAAGUGCCAGGAUUUUCAGCAAGGCUAACGUGGCACUUAGAUACUAGUCCUACACUUGACAGAACUAUAGAGUAUCAUAUCAGAGGUCUGGUAAAUACAAAAAGCACCAACUAGCUGGAUUGUAAUUGUGUUUCUUUUUUAACGUUUAGGAGACUCUUUUUUCCAUAUAAAGUUUGAGAUACCACAUUUUGACAGGAGUUGUUAAAUGUCACCAGUACAAAAGGGGGUUAAAUGUGGUUUAAUUUUGCAAAUGUCAUGACCUUGCUAUGACAAGUACAGAUAUGAAUGACAGCGUUUUUGGCUUUUAAUGCUUGGUGUAUUCUCUCUGAAUCAAUUUAUUUCAGAUGUCUUUUCAGAAGAAAGAGCUCAUUGUUAGCGAACAGUCAAAGUUGAAGCGAGGUCUUUCAUAUACCCUACAGCAAAAUGUUGCAGCUGAAUCAGCUGCUUCUCAGUGAAAGUUCAGCACACUUCCAGUCAAUUAAGCAGGAGUACAAAAGUUGUUUUUUUUAGGUUUAGUUGGUGCAAAAUGGGGUUCCUAACUGGUGUGUAUUUGAAGCAAAACAAACAUGUUGACAGAAAAUGUCAAUCUGCAAGCAGCCAACAUUUCCCUUACAGAGAAUCAGCCUCUGUUCUCAGCAGUGGCAAACUUCAUCCAUAAAAAAACACAUGAUAAAUUUAUGGUCUGUUUAGUAUUCAAACCAGAGGCUGAGCCUGGGAGCACCUGUCAGGUGUACUCAAACAAUUUCAUAUUUAAUUCAUCUCAAAUGUGACACAUCUGCCUUAAAAAAAUAAUUUAUAUGUACCAAAGUGCAGAAGUACACUCUAUUUGUGAACUUCCAAAAGGGCUUUUAGCUGUGACGACCGAUGUCUGCAGGUGGAAAUGGGAGGAGGAAGAAACUGCUGCACAAGUUGGCCUCAUCAAAGAAAUCAAUCAUGCUUCUCACACUGUGUCACACGUGAGCGCAGGUGUUUUAAGGACAUACAGAGUCAAGAUAGGAGACAUACUGCACUAUAUCUGCAUCGACUGCGCGCGCACACAUAGAACUGGAUGGAAAAUCCCGCACCAGCCCCCACUUCUACUCGUAACUCUAAUUGAAGCCUCAUGCCAGCAAUUGCUGCAUUUGCUUUUAUAGCCCAAAUUCAGCAAAUGAUUUUAAUGAGAGGGUGGCAAAGGGUGAGUGAUGCUGGAGAUUUAAACUACUGUUUCAGUGGCCACUUGAUUUAAAACAAAUGUUUGCAUUUAGCUUAUCGCUGAGCAGACAGAAAUCUUUUAAACAAAGUUAAACAAGACGGCUUGAGUACAUCACACAAGCUUUUGCGACUAGCCUCUCCCUAACUUCAACCUGUGAUAGAGACACUGAGUUUUUAUAUCGCCAUACCAUCCCAGAAAAAAGUUCCAAGUAACUGUAAAUGCCCUUUGAUACUCCAUGGCCAAUGUCUGUAAAAUCAGUCUGGCGAAUCAACCUCAAAGAAGCUAAAUUACUGUUUUGAGGAGGCUGGUGGAACAUGAAGCUCAUUUGCCUCGGGGCAGUGUGUCUGGGGAGGGUUCCACUCCGGCUCCAGUGGUCUACAGUUAGUUGGGGAGUCUUCAGACUGAUGUGGCGAGCUGCAUGUGAUCAGUGCCACUUUAAUUUUAGUCUAGUCAUCAUGUGGUGGUAACCAAGCUGAGUGAUGCCAGCCUGGCAGGAGGAACAUGGAUGGGAGAGACCUGUUUGGUCGCUGCUAUUUAAAGCCUUUUUCAGAGUGCAGGUUGAAUUGCAGAUUUGUCUUAACAGAGCGUUAUAUUAGUAGUUUGCAUUCCUGUACAUCACUGAAUAAAUGUACAGAUUUAUUAACUCAUGUCAAGUCAGGUCUAAAACUGCUUAUUCUGCUUCAGCGAUCUCGAACUCGACUCUUUGAAACAGCGGAUUUCCCCUUUACUGCUUUGAAUAGCAGAGCACAGUUCAGAGCGUGAAAGCUCUUUCAUGAUGGCUCUUUGAUUCUGACUUGUUUGAAGAUAAAUUUUUUUGUCAAGUGUAAUUAGUCUUGUUCUCCACCUACACUGUCGAUAUCUUACGGAUUAUAGAUGUUGAAUGUGUCCUCCCUUUUCUAAGUAAUCAAACAAUUUUCCUGGUUUGCUGUCUUGCGAAUCUUCUCUUCUAACCAUGCUUGCCUGUUUUCUGCACAUCAGUGGUGCAUGGUAACCACAGACUGCAUAAAACUUGCAUGUAAUUUCAGCAGUGCCAUCCAUUGGUUUCCAAAGAGGCUUUAUGAGGCCCAAACAAAGCAACUGUAAACAUGAAAAUGCUGUCUUCAGCUAAACCCUACCUGUCGCUGUAAUCAGAGAUACCCUAAUUGUUAAAUAGGGGGGGGGGGGGGACAACUAAUGACUUCAUGUAAUUCAAAACAGAUGAGUUAUUUUUGCAAUAAACAAACAAAAAAAGUAGUAAAUGAAUAAAAACAGGUUUUAAAAUUCUCUAUUCAUUGCUCUUUGAGUCCCCCACACACGUUUGUGCACAACUUUAUCUCUGUUAUUGUCAAAGUUAGCAGAAAGUUUUAAAGAAAUAGUAGAAAGAGACAAAGUUGUAUGCUUGUGCUGCAGUUUUUGCCUUUCAACACUACAAGUAACUAAAUAACUUAGUUACUAUAGGGUGACCAUAAGUCCUCUUGUAUCCUGACAUGUCCUCUUUUUCGGGGCUGUCUGGGGAAGUUUAUAAAAUCCUUCAAAUGUCCAUGAUUUUGUACAUAAGUUUCAAUUUUGUGUGAGUUAGAAGUGCGUAAAAGACACUCGUUCUGCCCCGAAAAACUCUCAAAAUUAACUCUGUGCGACUCCGUGACUCCACCCCCACGUAGUUGUGUCCUCUUUCUGGGAAGUCAGAAUAUGGUCCCCCUAAGUAACUAGUAUCUAAACUAGAUUGAGCACCAGCUGCAUGAUGUAAAUGCAAUACUCACAGCCUCUUGCAGAUAUUCUGAUUGAAGCCAAAGUUAAAAAAUCAGCCGUUUGUGCAGCUGACUUUGGGAUAUUUUCAAGGGCUUUUUGCAGUUUGUAUUCACACAUGCAAAGAAUAAUUUCAGGAGUGUGGCACAUGUGUGGAAGGGGUUAAAGAUUUCAAGAGAGAGUCGUGGAUCACACUGACCCGAGAAGAACCUCUGGCUCAGCAAAAACCCUGAAAGCAGGAGGAACAGCUGGUCUGAAUCUGUCAGCAGCUUCAAAAACUGCCUGCCACCAUCAUUAAUUAUGUGUUGUACCAAGUCUAUUUAAUCUGAAAACAGCUUGUGGGGGUACUUAACAUUUCCAUGCUGUGUCACUGUGUCCCAUCUAAAAAUGGUUCCAGUCAAAGGCAAGCAAAUGAGUGUAAUUUUAGAGAUGUCACACUAUUCCUUUAAAUUUCCUCCUCGCCCACCUUCCUUCCGCUGUCAGGAGGCCAUCAGAUGACGAGUGGCAGGGACAGAGUGUGGGUGCCUUUGACCCAGAGUGAUAGUUACUUACAUAAUGACUGGUGUCUGCAGCGUGAGUGGGAGGGCAGCAGCUGACCAUGAAGUAGCACGGUCAGAGUCAGGUUAUAAUUAGCACCUUUUGUCAGGUCAGAGUGGAAGGAGAAGGAAACAUGGCUGCAAUCUAAUCAGCUUUCCAUCAGGGAGGAGGUGGAAGAAGGAGGAGGACUGAAUAUAUAGAAGGCACGAUUACUAACUGGUUACACGCACCACACAGAGGCACAUAGAUCCUCUCCAGUGGGAGUCAACAGGCAACGAGAAGCAGGCAAAGAACAGCCCUGUUUUCUAUGGUUGACUUAAGUGGAUGUUACUUAACAGGACAACAUCUAUCUUUGUUUUGAACAUCAUCUUAAAAAGUUCUUUCCCUUCUCUCUGCUUUGCUGUUAAAGUUUAACCAUGAACUACUUGACUGGUGUAGUUGUAGUUGACCAACAUCCUUCUUGAACCAGGAGUUUAAAUAAAUGAAACCCCAGAGGUGACAGAAAUCAGCGUGUUCAAUUCUUUAUACAGAGUUAUGAAACUAACUUUUCCAUUUUUGUCAGUGAAAAGAUUAAAUUUUCCCCAUUUAAAAUCAAUUCAUGAGAUCUUUUUUCAAUCAGCUCAUCAUGCCACUCAACAACGAAUCAAAAAUCAUGAAAUCAGGAGCAUAAGAGGCACCUUUUGUUACCUAAAUAGUGAGCUGUGUCCUUCACACCACCGUGACCAAUGUUGUCCAAGAAGGGGAAAAGAAAGAGUUUUCUGUUUUCGAUGGGGCUGCUCACCCAAACUAGGCCUCAGUUAGAGCAGCUACUCCAAUGAUUUGACAUGAAUUAAGAUAUUUUGAGCUGCGAAAGUAACACAUUUGUUUUUGCUAGAGGGAAAACAUUAGGCUAAGCUUGACAAAAACACUACCUCUGUCUUCAAGGCUCCAAAGGCACAGAUAAAAAGCUAACAAACAUAUGCCUCAUUUCCAUCAUGUAGUACGACUUGAGAUAAUUAAACUUGCUUUUCUCUGGACCAGUUUACUAUAUUUUUUCCUAUUUAAAAGCAUGUGGGAAGAACCUAUGACUUGGUUUAAUUAAAGUUUGUACCAGCUUAGCAAAGUGAGUUUAUGCAGAGCAAUGGUAGACCAAUAUUCGGCUACUAAAAUAGUUUUGUCAGUAAUAUAAACAGACAGCUGAAGGGGAGGCUAUGUCGAGUACCUUUUUUCCAAAUUGGGGUAUGAAAAACAGAUUUUUAGACCUUCUGACAAGCUCAUCUAUUUGUGCGUACUAGCCCUUUAAAGUCCACACUGGUGGACUGAUGGGUACAUUUUCCACUUGGGUAAAAUUUAAGCUUGCUUCACAUCCUGAGCCUUGAUCGUAGUUGUUUAACUCCAGAAACCCAUAUCAUUUGGUCAACCACAUAGAGUCAAAUGUAAUUUGUGCUUUUGUCUCAUUGUUUAUGGUUGAAGAUUGUAAUCACCACAUAAUUUGUUAGUUCAACAUAUCAUCGGCAUGUUACAGUCUGUGCUCAUUUCAACUUUUACAGGACUGUUUUGGAGACUGAAGUGUUAUCUUCCCCUUUCCUCCUCCGUAUCUGUCCUUGGCUCUCGCUCGCUCUGUAUUUGUUACAAAAAAUCCUCUCUUACACUCUAUCUGCUUCACCCUCCACCAGCAUAGUGAUUGAUGUUAUCUGAGCCAGAGCAGCGAAAGUGCUGCAGAAGUUACAUCGUGCACAGACAGUUUGCCUGGCUCAGUGCCCUCAAACCAGAAUAGAGCUACGAGUGUGAUUACAACACUCCCGCUCUGUGUGUGUUUUGGAAAGUAUACUUUCAGUGAGUGUGUGAUUACGUGUGUAGAAGUGGCCAACUACAGGACCUGUCUUUGUAAAGUUUUCUCAGAGCGAUUGGACGUCAGCCAAGUGUCUUAAAAUUUAGGAGUACUGGAUAACACCCUGACACUUAGUGGGAGGAUGUAUGUCUUAAAUGUGUGUGUCAGUGUUUCUUUAUCAGGUAGAGGAAGAAGAAGCGUGAAGAUGUUCAUGGUUAGUGGCAACAAAAAAAAGAGACUCUCCUUUUUAAAAAUGCAGCUUAACAGGUUGUUUGUCUGUUCAGCUCAUUGCGAGUAAUGUUAAGCUUCAGCGUUUGGGUGGUGAUUUGAAACUUCAUAUAACAGGAUAGAGUCCACACACAGUAGGUUUAAGUCUAGUGUGGAUGCAAGAGUGGAAGGAUUGCCUUCCAGAUUAAGGCCACGUCCACACGUAGCCAGGUAUCUGCUAAAAUGAAUAUAUUUUUGUAGUCUGAGGAGCCACACACAAACCUCAACCAAAACGCUACUCUAUAGCCACAACUAAUGCUCAGAACAGCACCUAACUUCAUCGACAGUACAUAUAGGGUCCCAGCCAUAGUACUAGCCACCAAACAUCUUUUUAGCUUUGCCUGAUUUCUUUAGCAAAGAGACUAAACACAACUCACCUACUCUCUUCCAGCAGCCGCUUGUUUGGAGCGAGACCUCAGGUCAGUUCAUUACAGACUACAGCGGGGUGGGUGACACAGCUCAAAGAAAAACAUUUAUGAUCAUUUCUUCAUGGAAAUUCAAUCAGACCGAGACACUAAGGCAGAAGAACUACCGUGUCUGCGGUGCAAAAUUAUUAAUAUGGUGAUUAUUACUUAAAGGAAAUGAUAAAGUAAUCGCUGUGUAUUGCUAUCGUGCAGUUGUUACUAAAGUGGGUAUAACUAGAGAAGCAAGCAGUCGGCAACAUUCAUCUCUCGAGGGGGUUUCUAACUCGGUGCUAUGGUGUGUUUGACCCUAAAUUAAUUUUACGCUGGAAUAUCCCUUGAAAAGCAAUUUCACCUCUUUGUCGAACGAAUUACACAGCGCUAUGUUUCAUGUUUGGAGAAUUGUCUACGAGAAAAGGUUGGGAAAAGUUCUGAUUGGAUAGAAUGGGUCUAACUUUUGGCAAAUACUACCAACUCCAGGUCUGGCAUGCUUAUAACUGUGGUCAAAAGCACAGUUAUACGGUUUUGUGUGGAUGGGAUUUUAUUUGAAAACAAUUAUAUGUGUAAAUGAUUUUUUUUUUUUUUUUUAAAUGGAGAAGGUUGGAUAUUCGUUUAGAAAAAUACCCGGCUACAUGUGCACAUGGCCUCAGUCCUAACACAGCGAUGAGUUUUACCGAGACAUUACUUUGUUUUUAUUACCUUAACUGUCUGCUGAGAGCUCCAACACAAAGGCUAAGUAAAGAUCAGGGAAUAUCCUGACUCAUUGCUGACACACUCUUCCUCACAGCGUACCAGCUACUGACCGACACAGAAGCUAUCUCCUAAAUCCUCCCACUCGCACACCUGCAGACUGACUCCUACAGAGAGAGAGAGACAUAUACAAACACAGACAUGCACUCUCACGAACACACCCACACCCCAGCCUACCCAAAACCCUUCAUUACCAGACUGACCCCUGCCCUCAAGGCCUGUGGGUAUGUGGAGCAGUAGAGGCAUGUCUGGACGUCUGGAUGCUGCUCACAGUGUGAUUCACUCGCAGAGCUCCUGGAGGGGAAACGCCAAGAUGAUUGUCCUCUGACUUCACUCACUGUUUAGUUUAAGGGGCUUUGUUUGGGCUCAGAUGUGUGAAACAGCUGCAGAUGAAAGGAUAACUGAGGUAAUGUCCAGAUUUUCACUGUAAAAAUGUCUAAUUUAUUGUCAGAGAUGAGAUGUGCUUGGGUUGUAGGGGAGUGGUUUCAGAUAUGGUUGAGACAGACAAGUCCUGUGAUGAUUAAACAGCUUACAUGUGCAUUUUUUUAAGCCAAACUUGUUAAAUUUGGGUAAAAUUAAAAAUACAAACUGUGGUCAUGCAGCUUCAGUAAAAUUUACAAACUUCUUGUGGUGACAUGUUUAACAGCUGUAGUUCACAACCUUUUUGGCCUCUGACCUCUGGAAAUGAUCAAAGUUUUUUGCGACCCCCUUUCACAGCUGACAACCUCAGUGUGGACACUGAUUUUAAGAGUGAGCAGUGAUUUUAUCUCUUCAGGACUGUGUUAUUUUGAGGGAUUUGACCCUAAUCCUUUACUUCUUUUAAAUGUAGAGGCCAGGUGAUGCAAAUUUAUUCAUUUAAUGACCUGAAAAAAAAUCAAGUUGGAGAAAACUGGGAUUAUUUAGCAUUUCUUUGUUACAAACCCUAACUAUACCUUACUUCUCUGCACACUCUGUAUUUUUAUUUUAUAGGUUAACACAAAGUUGUUCUGCUCAAUGCUGCCAGAUACUACAUAGUGCAUCUUUAAGGUGAUUAAAUUUCAACAGAAAAAUACUAAAAUCUAUAUGUCUUUGAAAACAGUUUUGUAAUUGCAGUAGCUUAGCCUGGAGGGACUUGGCUUAGGUUAACAAAAUCCGGUUCGAUGAUUUUCCUACGUGUGUGUAGUCCUGCCAAUAUCAGGAUGACACCCAUCCACUAUAAAUCACUUUAAACAGCCCAAAAUAUCACAUUAUAAAAACAGAUACCCCACAUACAUUUAUUUUGAUACUAACCGAUGAAUCUGCACAUCUAAAUCUGUGUAGCAUGAAAGGUGGCAUUCACUCUUCUUCUUCUGCAUCACAACAUGUUCUGGCAGGCAGAUUCAUGAAGUCGGAACAAGACAACACUAAGAAUUCAGCUGUGAGGGAGGAAUUUCAAGAGAAUAAAGGUGUGAAGGGACAGGGAUCUUUACACAACAUCUAUACCUGCUAAAGUUUGUAAUAGAAUAGGUGUGGGAAUUUAGUAUGAGUGCAUCACACAUCACUGUGACAGAGGUAAACUCAUAAGAUGAAUGACACAAAGUCCCUUUCACUUCAAAGUCUUAAAUAAUGCCGUGUGGUGCAAAAAACUUUAAUUCUUGUUUGUUAUGACUGAAUAGAUCUCAGAAAUAUGUUAAUGGAUGUGGCAGAUGAUUUCAAACAAGAUCCAAUGACUUAACAAUGCUUAAUCCAGAAUUAUGGGUUUUUCAACCUGAAGAAGCGACCCACACGAUCAUUCAGACCAUAAACCAACACGUAUUUUAGAAAGGCGGUAGAACUAUGUUGAUAAAUCCUUAACAAAGCUGAAUAACUGUGAAACAGCAAAGACAAAUGUCACACAAUAACACAGAUCCUACUAAAGUUAUUCCUAUUAAUGUAAACAGACUGGUGUGCUCAACACUUCGCCCACAUGUCACUCUUUUAGGUUUGCACCAGUUGCAUGCAUAUCAUAAUCUCCACCCACUGACAUAACGAACUCCAACUUUGUCAUCACACUUGUCUAAAGCAACUUCUUGCAGAAAUUAACUGGAGAGAUAGCAGCUAAAGCUAAAGACUCUAGAAAGCUUUCUUAGCUCACCCUGAAAAUUGAGAAUGAAUGCAGAAGUGAACACAGUUUGUGAGUUAGUGUAAACACCUUUGACGAUGAGUUUUGCUCACUUACAGACUGGUCAUGUGUUGCACUAACCCUGUGUCUUACAAUAACAGGUUUCAGAGAGUCAUAGAGGGUUGAUUUCUCCUUGUGCUUUAGUGACUUGUCAAGUUAACUAAAUCAAAGAGAAGACAGAAGGAGUGACUUUAUAGAUAUUUAAAGGCUGUUUUCUGUCAAGAAACUCAACUUUACCCUUAAUUAAAUAACUGACAGUAAGUUGUGGUUUCCUAGACCCAGUAGUAUAUAGGAGCCUCUGGUUUACCAAAGGCUUCUCAUUAGCCCACUCCCAAUCAUUUGACUGGGUUUGCUCUCAGCUGAUGAAUGUAUGGAUGUGUAUAUGGAUAAUUAAGCAGACUAUAGAACGGUGACUAGAUGUCUGCCCACCCGUGGUCGUCUGAGUGCUGCCAUUUCAGGGUCUGCUGUCUGCUUUGGGGGGUUAUUACUGUGGAAGUGGGGUCAGACUGGUGCGGAUAAUUGAGGUCCUUGUUGGGGUGGUCACGUUUUUCUAAGUAGGUUUUAAAUCGCAGACCCUGACUUUUUAAAGAUUCAAUAGAAAGGAGACUGAUUGUAAUUAUUUAAUAGUCCACUAAUUUAGCAGAGUUACAGUCCUCAGCGGUGCUGUAACCUCUGAUCCACAGCUGCUCUGCUGCACAGCGUCUCAUUUGUUUUCACUGUCGUCUGGGGUCGUGACAUUAUUAAUGAUGCUUGCAGGCCUUUAAGAGACAUGGGCUGUGUUAUGGAUUUGCUGUGUUGAAAAGAAAAAAGGUCCCUCUGUGUUUAGAAGCAGUGUUAAUGAAAAAAACUGCCUCACUGCUUAAUAGGGCCGAGAUUUCAAUUAAGAUGGUUGUCAGGUAUGAUACUAAACAAGCACAAAUGACUUGUGUCUCCACAUGGCUUACUUAAAUUACGAGUUUAUUAACACAAUUAAAAGCUGAAUGCUGCUUUUCAUUUGCAGCAGAGCAGGGCAAGAAGGAAUGAUGUUGCUGCGAUUGGUCAGACAAGCGAGGACUGUUUUUCAUUAACAGACCAGCCCGGCACACAGAAAAAAAGCAUAAAUAACACUUCGUCAGUCUGUUAGGUCAGUUAUCAGCUGCUCUCAUCCAGGUCAUGUGUCUUUAAUUACAUCACUAAAUUAUGAUUUUUAAUACUAUUUCAACUUCUGCUUUAUCUAAUCUUUCUUAUUUUUGGUUAGUUUGUUAUAAUGAGGUGUAAAUGUUCUCUUUUGUGAUAAUUUAAGUCUUGUGUGAUGCACUAUGAAUAGCCCUUUUUGUUAAAAUGUGCUAGACGAGCAAACUCGCAAUGCCAUGCCUAUGAUGCUGUUAUUGCUGGGGAACAGACUGAGUGAUUAUCAUUUUUAGAAGUCUCUGUUUACACGCAUUCACUCUGAAAUGAAAUCAGCAUUGCUUUCACUGGAAUGUGAACACUACAUUUAAUCAAGCGCAUAUUAGUUUAGCUCUGUUCCUAAAAUAGCGUCAAUUAAAAAAGAGGAAAAUGUAACAGGACAGAGCAAAAAUGUUUCUAAAUGCCUCUUUUAGCUGGGCUGUGUUUGACCAAACAUGAAAACCCUUGCUGCUGUGUAACUGAUGUAGUUGUGUGUGUGAUAACAGGCUAAUUACAUUCAUUACGCUCUGGACACUGGUUCAGAGCCAGCUCCUCUGCUCACACCAGAUCGCUCAGCCUAUCAAAAUAAAGCUCUGAAGCUCUCAGGAGAGUAUCUGGGGGCUCCUGCUCAGGUAUUUUAAGGUCCUAAUGGCACCGUUGAGCUGAGGUAUAAAGGCUUGUUGACGUGGUUAUCCUGGGUCACCAGGUGUUUAUCAAGAGUAAAUAUGUGUUUGUGUUUGCCGUGUGUGAUUUUACGUCCUAACGUCUGCAUUUGGGUUGGCAUGUUUACUAUGUGCGAAUGUGCUGCAGACUUCCCUGUGUCUAUUCAGCCUGCUUCGUGGGCAGCUUGCGCGCUCACUUUACUGGGAUCUGAAAAUAGCUCUGGCCUCUGUGUGAUUGUGUGUUUAUGUGUGACGGACACUUCUAAAAGCAGGGGGGAAAGCUAGCCUGGCAGCUCCAGUUGUCUCAGAGCCAAACCUCUGGCUCACUGUGUGGUUAGCCUACACGACUAUACUUAGCGUAGCGUACCCUGUGUGCAGCUAUGCGUGUGUAGUUGGGGGGUCUACCAGAAAGAGACAAGGGGGUGCCUGUGUCCACACCUACCCAUUAAUUCUCUUGGGGUGGGGGCUGCGGCCACCGGUUACAGCUAACCACAGCUAAAUUGAGCUGUUAGUAAAUUCAGGCCUAGAGCGUAUUAGUGGAAGAUACGUGUGUUAAACUGGCAGUUUGGUUCGAAAACUGUGUCGAAGUUUUACAUUGUGAGUGUGUGCGAAUGUAGACUGGGACUGGAAUGCACGGCGUGUUUGUAUAUGGGACCAUAUUUACAGCCCACUGGGGAAAAGCAGAGUGAAUAUGGGAUGAAGGGACGGUGAAAGAGACUUUAAAGGAAACAAACAGCAACCCAAGAUGAAUCAGGGAUAAAAAAUGUCUGCAGCUCUGAAAGCUACACAUUCUGUCAUCAAAUGUAUGUUUUUGGUUCGGCAUCAAAGGCCUUCACAAACCUCCAUUUACGUUUCUUUGAGGACACCAGCCCUUUGAUCAGCAUACAUGUUAUUUGAAAGAAAGCAGACAUUUUGACAUUUUGGAUCAAAUCAGAUCAAACAUCGGAGACCAAAAAGGUUCAAAGGACCCAAAAGUUUAGAAGGAAAGAAAAAGAGGUAAUGGGAAUUACCCACGAUUUCACGUCUCGAAAGAUCUGUGACGGCAUGUCUUUAGGUAGGGGGCUUCAUCAUUUGAAUAAAUAUCCACUCUGAAGCCUGUGGAAAUUUGGCUUGAAGUAGUUAAAUAUAAAUGAUUUGAAGUUAAGAGUUUCUUUAGUUUUGAGUCAAUCCCAAUCUUAAAAACAAUGAUUAUAACUGGUGUGACUACUAACAGCCUAAUAUUAGGCGUGCCUGUUAUUGUGUCUAAUGCAUUUACCAAUAUCUAAUGUAAACAGCUGGUUAGCUGCUGAAAGUUUUGGGGGGGUUUGUGUGUGAAUUGUAUAGUUUUCACUUUAAAUAUCACUGACUGUAUAAAAAAUGAAUGUACUCUUAGUGCAGGGGUGGGCAAUUCAUUUUUACAUGGGGCCACAUGAGAAACCUGAACUGUGUUGGAGGGCCAAACCAACAAUAACUUCAACUUUAAAUCAGGGGGGUUCACACAUACAGAAAAGCAAGCCCAAAUAAGCAGCUACUAGUUAAAAACAAGCCCAAAUAAAAAAAAACAACACACCAGCGACUCAUACAUUUUUCAAGCAACGAGAAACAAGCAUAAAGUCUUUUAUAAGUGGACUGAGCAACUAUAAGGCGUCUACGUAUGUUUUGCCGAUGUUUAAACUUGUCUCUGUUCAUGAAUGCAGAUCUAGGAUGUACGCACGUGCAUCCAAACUGAAAUAAAACAACAGCUAGGUUUUCAAAAUAAAAGCAACACACUUGUUUAGCAUGUUCAUGAUUUGAUUGACAGACCUCACGAAGGGCCGGGCAGGGACAUCCAAAGGGCCGGAUGUGGCCCUCGUGCCCUAAAAUGCCCAGGUCUGUCCUCGUGGCAUUGAGUUUUUACACCCAAUGAUGGUAAGCGCCACACUAGAAUUGCUGACUCAGCCAAGCUUUUUAUCAACCAUCAGACAAGCUGGGAGGUAUCGAGCUAAAGCAUACUUUUAACUAACAGCUACCUGUUUGUCACCUCAGCUGUGUCCCAUUUAUGUAAAUGUAUACCCUUUGUGUUGUCGUACAGAUAAUCUAAGAGUAAUUCCACCAAAACACACCAAAUUCUGCUCACUGAACCGGACUGUAACCGUGUUUAAUUUUCUGUCUACAGGCAUUUUAAAAUAGGACCCAAGGGGGAUUUCUUUUCUUUUAAAGCCAGCCUCGAGGGAAUUUGUGAAAAAUUGACAUAUGGACUAUUUUGACACCUUAAAGUCGCUGGUUGAUGGAUAUCCAAGACUAGAAAAAAAACAAUCCCAAUCCAGUAUCCAAAAUUUAGUAAGAAAUCCUUCAAAGCUCCUCCUUUAUUGGUUUAUUUAUUUUCUUAAACUAAUAAAAUAAACUACUUUAUAUCACAUUCACAUGCUCAUUGCUGUGUACACACAUUAAGUCCUUUGAUUACACACAAAGGCUGUGAAGGUUUCAGGUUUCCUGAGGCUUUGGGAUCAAAUAAGGUAACUCAGAGAAACCAGGUUUCACAGGUAGGCACUUAUUUCCGUGCACCUACGUGACCUCCUACUGUAACUGUGAAGCAAUAACCACAUGCAAUUAGUUGAUAUCAAAUUUCUCUCAGAUCUAAUUUCAAACAUGAUGUGAUUAUACAGAUUUAGAAGGUUUAAUGAGGAUUUUAUUUUAACACCUAAUUUUAAGCAAAAUGGUGUCCACACCAAUAUUCAACUUUAAAACUACAGUGAGCUGUAGGAGCUGGAAGAUGACAGUUCAUCUCUUUUCCCCCCCAAACCUAACUGUAUGCACAUUAAAUACUAGAUUUUAUAGAGGUAAGUUGAUAAGUAUGAGCUCACCUCUCACUGUAAAAUCAUCAGUUUAACACACAAGGCUUUAAAUACUUGUGUUCAAGUGGAUCCCAUAAGCAGGAUACCUGAGUGUAAAGAAAACAGAGAAAUAUGGAGAAAGGUGAGACUGGGUGUAGCACUAAAUGUUCACAGCUGGGGUUAAGUAAAGGUCUCUGACGCUAUCAGCUCAGCCUUAAAGUUGAUAUUUGGGUUCGUCUCAGGGCCUGGUGACAAGGAAUCUAACUCAUCAGGUAUGUGUGUUUUGUGUCCGUGGGAGUAAGUGUGUAUGAGGACAAUGGCUGCUGCCUAAAUGCCUGCUCUAAGGUACAAAAUGUUCUGGGUCAGGAGAGCUGGCACUACAUCAAGUCCCUGGACUGGAGUAACCUCAGUCUCACUCCUCUGGCUUCCAUUAACUCACAGUCCAACUGUAACCCCCACUGAGUUGCGCAAGAACACACUGUAACGCACAAUCAACCUUGACUCUUGGUAUGCUACUAUUUUUUCCCCUUAUGUUAUCUGUGAUGACACAAUAGCUCAGUUCAAGAACAAAACAUCCUCAUAUAUCAAGUUUAAUGUCCAGGUGGGGACGCUGUACUAACUACAGUACGGUAACUGGGACCAACAUGAACUUUUAAUGCACCACAGACAAACACACUCGUAUAAUAUUUGUCCACCUUUUCUCAGUUGUUGAAAUUUCUUUUACCUGAUGUUUUCCUCUCUAAUGCUCAUCCAUCUGGUUUAGGGAACACUCACACGAGACAUCUGAACUUUGACCACUUUGUUAUUGGUGUCUAGUAUUGCUGCUGAGGGAGGAAGUGAGUGUUAUUGCUUUGUCUCACAUAUUGUUCUGCAAUUUCUCAACCCAAACAAUAGAGUCAGGAUACUCUCACCUUCCAGUAAACACGACAUUUAAGAGCUCUGUCAAAGCUUUUCCUUGAGAAGGCUUUGACAGAGCUUUGACAAACCCUGGAAUAAUAUUUUUCUUUCCUUUUUUCCUUUGUUACUCAGAAGGAUAUCAAGACUUCAAAGGUCGUUUGGAGAUUCAAAUCUUUUUAAAAAAUCAUUUUAAAGAAAGGGAACUGUAGAAAUAGCAGAAAAAUAACACUCAGGAUCAAUUAUUAGUGUUUUCCUUUGAUUUUUCCUUUUUACCUCACUUUAGAAGGAAAGUGAUUCAGUAAGCCAAAUCUGCAAUGAUUUUUAUGACCUUUUUUCUUUUACAACAUUUUGUUAAAAGCCCAAAAAAUAAAAAAUAAUUAACUAUUCAGUUGCUUAAUAUGUGCUGGAUUUUGUAGCUGACAGGUUCAAUUUUUUUAAAGAGAUGGUGUAACAUCUUGAGGAAGUAGAUGUAAAGUGAAAAAGUAUAUAAUGAAUACAACUUUUAAAUCCUCUCAGUCAUUGGUCAAGUGUGGAACUGAACAAAAAAUUGCAUCAUUAAAACAGAAUCGUAACUGUACUGCAACAGGUGAAUGUUGAGUACUGUUGGUCAAACAACAUAAAAAAACAGCCACCUGGAUGAAAAAUUCUCUCUCUGCACUUCAAAACAUUUCUGAAAAUUUUCAGGAGCCUCGCCCUGGAAAAUUUCCAAGUUGCUAGUUAAUUCAUGUCCCUCAUAGUGUGAAUUCUUCCCUGUUGGACAAGGAGGAUGGUGAUCAUUAACCCCACCCAAACGCUUCUGGUAUGUUUUCCUAAAUAAAAUACUUCCUGCAUUGGUUUGUCCUGAAAUGUUUCAAGAGGGCUGGCAGGAAAAAGUCAGGUCAAAGUCAGGAUCAAACGUUCAGCAGUUCGUGUUUACACAAGCAGCCCUCGCUGAAAUUUCAGGCAGUUUUUGCCUCUGAUCUAAUUGGACAUAGUAUGUUAAACUAGUUUUAUCACCCCUCUUUGAUAAUACAAGAUAAUAAUACUGUUAAAUGUUUUUGCUAAUGUAAAGCUUAUAUUGCUUUUGUGCCUGUCUUUUCUAAAACCAAGCAGCCACUGAAAUCAUUAAUAAAUUAAAAUACAAAGUGAUCCUUUUUAUACACGCUACCUUGAAUCUCCACAGUAUGAGAGUCAGGAUUCAGCUUGUGAAGCCCUUACUGAACUUUGGGGCCAAAUGAUUUAAGACGUUGGCACAGGGUACUUCAUGAGACUUUAGUGUACUACAAAUCUAAAAUAAUAAAUGUUUAAGACUCAUUUGGCAUCCCAGGGAGAUUUGUGACUUCUGCUGUUACUGAGGUCCACAGAAACAGGGAAGGGUUUGUGGAGCAGCAAAGGGCUAUUUAAUAAUCACCCAUUUUGCACCGGUGGGGUUUGGGGUGAUCAUUUUAUAACGUUAUGAUUGGCGGCCAGAGCUGUGGAAUUCGUGAAUGUUCCUCUUGUUUCAGGCAGAAGAGAGCUGGAGCGGGGAGGGUUUGACUGCUGUGAUGGAUGUUGAGGUCUGGAAGGUCCUGUGGUCCGAGUAAAACCCCUUCCCCUUCCUCCUUUGCCUUCAAACUUCCAUAGUAAAAAAGGGUUUGGCGCAUUCUUUAGGCUGAAGAAAGUUCAGUCACAGGAAACCAGAAAGUCUUCUGACUCCGUGCGGUUCCUACUUAUUGUUUCAACCAGCAGGAAAGCACUGAUUAUCACCACUGAACUGUUUUCACUUCACUCGCUGUUUUCCUCUCAUACCUACGGUGGUUGUUUGCAUGUAAGUGACUGGAUAAUGUGUGUGUAAGUGUGUAACUCAGCCAUGCUCCCUGUGUGCAUGUGCACUUAAGAGAAUUUGACUCAUCUAGGCACUUGAGCUGUAAUCUGAUGAGGGCUGAGAAAAGCAUAGAAACAAAAAUGUUCUGUAAAAGAUAAUGUAUAGUGAGCAGGUGAUCAUGCAAAUUAGAAUCUUUAAAGGUUUAGCUUGACUCUUAUAGGGAUUCUAAUUUACAUAACCACCUGUUCACUAUACAUUUAUAUGCAGAGUUAGAUUUAGAUAAGGUAAUAGCUCGAUCAGGCAGUUUAACUGGACUGCCAACACAAACACCAGAAUGGAAUUAUUGUUGACAAAAGUACGUCUUCCUUUUGGUAUUGUAGGUGAUGAUACGCCUCUUUUCAGCUGGUAACUUUUAGACCUUCUCUUGUUGACUGACAUCACAUUUUAGAGCAUUUCAUUAACAAGUCUAUUUCAAGUAAUUUACUUUUUUUACUUCAAAUGAUCCAUAGUAACACAGAACAUUGAAUGGUCUCCUUAUUGUAAGUGUGCUCUAAAAUCUAAGGCUUUGGUAGGGGAGUUAAAACACCACAGUGCAUACUCAAAUAAAGAUUUCACCCGGCAUCGACACAUGAGUUAGAUUACCAAGACUUUGGGAAAAGGAUCUAAAUUUAAUGGCACACUGCAACUCUGGUAAAAUUCGGUAGAACCAUAUGAGGUGUUUAGUUUUCAAAGCCCCGUGGUCCAUAUAUGUUACUGUAACUGGAUGUAACAAGCUGUAGCAUCAAAUAAGCAAGGACCAUCUUAUUAAGUUGUAUCAGCAACUUGGCUUGAAUAGCCAUAUUUAGUCAUAUUUAUACAGCUUAAAGAAGUAAAAAUGUUUUUCUUUGUAUGUUGAAAUCACAAAAUUUCAAAACAUUGUACCUAACCUAAAAUUAGGGGCGAAUAUACGGAUGUUUCAAGUAAUUGGAUCUUUAAUGCUGGAGUUAUGAACACCUGAGACCACAAAAUUAUCUUUACCAGUGGAAUCUUAUAAUGCAGCUGACUUGAUCAAUUUUAUUUUGAAAGAUCAUGAAUCAUUUUCCUUUUUUUAACCAUAAGAUGGUAUAGAGAAAACUGUUUUUUAUCUCAGAUUUGGCUGUUUCUGGCAUUGAUGUCUGAUGUUCAUCUCCUGAAAGCAUCCCCAGCCAGGGGGAUCACAGAGGUCCCACUGAGGGUUUAUUCCCAGAUGGAAAAACUGUAACUGUUCAUCACUGUGGCUCUCUGCCUGCACUCAGCAGCCACUGCAGCCAGGUGGGAUGCAAGCCGCCGUCCUGUGCAGACGCAGAGCUGCCUCGGCCUGCUGUGCAGCACCAGGCUGCUGCGGAAUUUUCAUUAUUUUCAAAGAGGCUGCUCUUCUUGGGUGGUCUUCGCCAUGUGUCGGCCCCCAGUAUGUGUAAAUAUGUGUGCAUCUGUGCGUGUAUGUGUUAAGGAGUUUGUGUCGUGUUGCUUGCAAGUUUUGUGAAUAAAUUUUGUCCGUGUGGCUUUGCAAGUGUGUGUUUUUGCCCCAGAACUGCACAAGUCACGGAUUUCCUUCCCACGUAAUUAGCCAUGGCUGCAUUUUACGAGGGUGAUAAUCUGAACUGGGCAGCAGCCAAGUAGUUAGGAGACAGCUAAAUACAGUUGGUGUCCACAGCGUUUUUCAGUAGAAACAAAAGUAUUCAUCUGAAAUCUAGGUAAUAUGUCAACUGUUUUCAUGGAUACAAAAAAGGAACAAACAUCUUGGACAGCGAAAGUGGUGACCCCUGACUUCCUCUCUGUAAAUGUCUGAGGGACCUUUAUCAGGCAGAAAUGACUGGGUUUCAUAAAUUGGGUGUACAUGUGUCAGGCAAUCAUCAAAAAGAGGUUAAAUUUGCCUAUUUCUUUCAAAUUCAUUACUUAGCAGAUUAUAACACUACACUUUGCUAUGCCCCAUCCCAUGCCAAUUCAGCACUUUGUAGGCAGAUCAAAAAUUGUGAGUCUGCACUUAUGUGGUCAGGUCUCUGCAGUCUGUUUGGUAAAUUAGAUUCAACUUCAAAGUCCAGUUUGAAGUUUCUUCAAAAGUAAAAUUCCCACAUGAAGUCUAAACUAAUUUCAGCGUAGCAUGUUUUUUCCUCGGCUUUUCUCAUCCAGGGAUCCGUGGUCAAAUUUGGGGGAUUAAAAAUAGAGACUUUGAAAAUAGAGAUUAGCAACUUAAAUUUCACAUUUUAUGACUUUUUGAAGCACAGCAAUAAUUGACAGGAGGUUAACCUUGCUAAUCUCAUUUUGAUUAUGUUUAGGCACUGAAACCACUGAAUUUGGGCACCAUAGUUAUUAACUUAUAAAUGCUUGUCAUGUAAUAAAUGUACACCCCAUGGCCACCAUCACCUCUGGGCCUUCAGCAACUGAAGGGGUAAGCAAGGGGCUGUUUCAAUCUAGAAACUACCUACCAUUAAUAAAAUAUAUAUAUAUAUCUACACACUGUACUUUAAAAAAGUUAUGAACUCUUUGUUUCAUCAGUUAUUGAGCCCCAGUCCCCUGAAUCAAAGUUCUUUCUUCUUUCAAUUCAUACAUUACCCACAACUGCUAAAAAAACAAGGUUAGGAAAUUACACAAGUAUAUUUUGGAGCAUCUUAUUCAUGAAAAUGUCCAAAAUGUGUCUUUACAGGACAAGAAAUUUUGAACACCACUCUUUAUUUAUUCUGUCUCUCCAAUAGAUAAACCAAGAGAGCUAGAUGAGAUGUGUUGAGUCAUCUUUGCUGGUAAUUUGUCCCAGUGGCCUCAUUUUUUUCCAAUGCAAGCACCAUUGUACAGUAGCGGACAUAUCAGUAAAUCUGUUGGGGCUAGAAAGCUAGUUUUAUGUGCAUGACAUCAUCUGACUGGAGGGUGUAUGGGCCAGAGGUAAUGGAAAGAAAAAAUAACACACAUGAGCAGUUUGAUGAUAAACGCUGGGUUGGCAACUUUAGUGCACCCUUGGGGUCCAGGAUUCAGUUCUCGUGAUUAAUCUCUUCUGUCGUUACUUGUGUGAUAUCAUAAUUAGCAAAAUGGUACCAUCUGCAGGUUUUGGUUUCAUGUACUCUACCCUACUUGUGCAAUUGGACAAGUGAUACAAAUAUACAUGUUUGUGGUUUAAAAACCUCUUUUGCCAUGACAAGAUGGAGCAAAGUGAACCAUGAAAUACUGAAAUUUGAUUCUUUGAUUCGUCCUCUCCAAAAUGGUUUUUCCAUUGUUUUGGCCAGUUCCGCAAAAACAGGGAAAGCAGCCAAGAACUGAGCCAAAAGAGCCAACUGUUCAUCCCAGUCUGGCUGCAAAUCUUUUUUAAAGUACACACCAGCUGUAUGUGCUAUCAUACUAUUAUCUAAAUUCCAGUGUAGCACAAUAAUCACACAGAGAAACCGCAACCAAUUUUCUUGUCGUGUCUUGACGCUUUGCCAAGUUACCAAAAUACUGCACAGUCAAGCUGGGGGAUAACUCAGUAAGUAGUUGGAUAGAAGAGCUGAGUACCUCGGAAACCAUUAUAUUUUCACAAAUAUAAUUACAACUGAUAUAUUUUGUAUCUUGAACCUGUGACACAGGAGCUUCAAGUGAGGAAUGGCUUUUAUACAGUAAAUCUCCAAUGCACAGUCUGGCCUCCUUUUCCACUGUUUCAUAUCAUAUCACAUUGUGUUGGCAUCAGUUUAUAACAUUUUGUAUCAUAACCUAUCAUAGCAUGUUGUAUUGUUUAAUGACAAAUUGAAACAUUAUGAUGGUACUGCAUUACACCAUUGUAUUAUACCAUACUGUAUCACAUCAUAUUGUAAUGUAUUGUGACAUACUUGCAUUAUGUAAAACAGACUGAAUCAUAUGGUACCAUAUUACACGAUAUGGUAACAUAACAUGAUGCAUUAAAAUGUACCAUUGUGGAAUAUAUCGUAUUAUAUCAUAUCCUUAUUGUAAUUAAUCAUAUUGUUUGUUACUGCAUUAUAAUGUACUGUAUUGUAUUGUAAUGUAUUGUACUAGCUUACUGCUCUGUAUCAUAACAUAUAGUACUGUAACUGUAUAUCAUAUCAUAUUGUUUUAUAUUGCACCCCAUCAUUUCAUAUCAUAUCGUAUCAUAUUAUAUCAUAUUUUAUCAUAUCGUAUCGUAUUAUAUCAUCAUAUCAUAUCAUAUCAUAUCAUGUAUUGGACCAUUACAAAUUUUAUUGUAUUGGAGUGUAAAUUCAUAUGAGACAGCUACCUUUAAACGCCAAUCAUUUCAUUGUCAGGUAAGACUUGUCAACCUGUGAAACUUUUUGAAAUGACACCCAAUUCUAUGUUUUGUUUUUUUUUUUUUCACAUUAUUUAGCAAAAUAAAGAAACAUACAGGCUGCCUCUAUUUUUAUAAAUUAAUUUACCUAAAUGUAAGUUUAAGAGUGUGCGUGUGUCAGUGAGGUAGUUUGUCUGUGUUUGUGUGAACUUGCCUUUUUCUCUUCCCCACUGACAGGAACAAUAAGCUUGCGGUGAGGUCCUGAGGUGCAGCCAAAGCUGGAAACAAUGCAAGGGGCGUCGCGUGCCUCAGCAGGAGGUGGUUCAUGCCCGGGUCCACGCCAGGGAAGAACAUCAAGAGUCAGCACCAGGAUCAGGUGAAAUGCCGGGCAUGCCACAGUCCCAUCUGGCUUCCUGCAAUGGAAACCAAGAGAAAGAGAAAAGAGGAGGGUUAUGUUCACCUUCCUGCUGGGGGGUUGUCUGGGCUCGUAUAGACAGAGAUGAGCAGCACUGACUGGGCCUGAGACUUAAAAAUCUUAUUCUGACUUUGACUGGAGGGAAGGGGGUAAAAGACCAAGGCCAUACAAGGCCGUAAUACUGUAUGUACUCUCUUAGAACAACGUCGAACAACAUGUCCUCAGACGGAUUGAUAAGUGUGUAAUAAAUAACUUUUGUCUCCUCUCAGGGGAGUCUGUACAUACAAUGUUUGACAUCUUUGCUUUUACUUAUAUGUCAGGCUCAGGCUUCUCACCCUGAAUGACACAUAAAUCCCCUGCAAAGAAGUUUUAGACUUAUCUCCUCCAAGGUUUGCGUAUAUUUAACUCAGUAUGAUUCAAUAGACCAUCUACAAGUUGAUCUGUUUUAACUUUCUUUUUUCACAGAAUAGCAGCAUUGUGGAAAAAUCCAUACUGAUCUACAAUAAAGACUAGAAAUGCUGGAGUGAGCAUCUCAGGCCCAUAAUUGGCUUUAAAAUUGUGUAAUGGAGCUUAAGUGGAGAGCACUAUGUGGGUACAAACAAAUAAGAAUACAACAGUGAGCCCAAUAUCUACACUUUGCAGGAGAACAGUCCAAUUAUGACAAGUCUGCAAGUAAAUACACAGCUCAGUAGUCUGUAUUGUAUUAAUGUCCUACUAUAGUACUGUUUAACUGGGAACAUAAUACACAUGUGCAAAUAGAGCUGUGAAGUUGCUAUUGUCUGAGGAUCACAUAUUGAUGGUUUACAAAGCAACAGAAAGGCUGGCAUUUGCAAAAGAAACUGGAACCUAGUUUUAGAAGUUUGCAUUCUGUGCCGCCCCAAACGUCAUUAACGUGUAAAGGAACAGCCAAAGCGCUUUAGUUUUCCUCUGAUUUUGUUUCCAUGGAAAUUGCAUGAAUAAGUUGCUUGGUAACCAAGUCGUAAACAAAACCUCAACAGAGGAAGAUAGGGUGUAAAAAAGACUUAACUUUCCUGUUGUACAAACAAAUCAUACAGAGCUGUAAAAGUGAUUUUAUUGUUUGACAUACCACCAUUAGCCUCUUGCUAACACAUUUUGCCAAUUUUUUGAUCUGUAAGACAUUGACUAGGAAAUAACCUGACGGUAGCAGGCUAAAAGGGAGCAUGUCACCACCUACUGCAGCUGGGGGGACAUGCUUCUGUCAAUAACAGGAUUUUCAUCCAAAGCGUGUAAACAUAGACAGAAGUCCAGUUUAAAUUGUGACUACAGCUGCUAUACAUAACCAAAUGUUAUGAGGCCUUUUCUCAAAAGAUUGUUGAUGCUGUUAUUUUGUAUUAAGUGUCUCCUUUCCUUACAUCACUCAUUACUCUUUUUUUUUAAUCACUUUUUGAAUUUUGUUGCCAGGAAGUUACAGUAAAUGCAAAUGUGAUCUAAUGGCCCAGACAGUUCAGAAUAAUCAAGCUGGAAAACCCUUCAAGGAUGCACUUUCAAAAGCAGGUGCAAAAGUCCAAGACAAAUGGGAAAAAUCGGCAAUUCUCUGCAAAGAAAGAAAAAAGAAAAAAAACUGCAAAAGACUAAAACAAACACGUUAACAUCAACUACACUGCAAAUCAAUAACUGAAGGCAAAGUCAGAAGCUACACAUGUCUAAGACAAACACCGCUGUAGGCCUGCAUGAGCACUGGUGGAACAGGUUUAGGAUUUAUGGCAGAGACAGGGAGCCAAAACAGUGAACUUAUUGAUUAAUUGUCGAGUUGUCAGGUCAAUAUGAAUAUGUGGAUCAGCAGCACAGUAGCUUUCUUUCCAGAUUACUUAAUUAUAAUCUAUCCUUAUACAAUCAAUGUGGGUCUAACCUGUCUGUUUUUGUUAGAGCCCCCUCAUGCUGUAGUUUAUUAUCCAGCCUGUUGUAGUUUCUCUGAUGCUCCCUCUCUCUCUCUUAAUCUCUCCCCAUAUGUCUCUCUUCCUUACAGUGUUACACAAUACCUCACUGUAUCAUGGGGGGAUGGGGGUCACUCUUUGCAGCUCACUUGUUUCCCUGUAAACUUUAACGUAUACAUCCAAACAGUCUUGUGUUGUUAACACACACAUGCACACAGACUCGGAGCACACUCACACAUACAUGAAACCUCACCCAUCCCCCGACCACAACUUUGCUGAUUUGACACAAACAAGUCAGAGGGAGGCUGAAUAAAAAACAUGCCUGGACACAUCGCUCUGCUCACUUCAACUUUUUGGCUUUGCUUCACAUCCCAGAUCCCUCAAUCAUUCACACAGAGGAAGGACAGAUUGACGAGAGGAGAAUCAUUUUGGUUAACAUCUUUCACAGUCUCUAUCAGCCAUGAAGUGUAAAUUCUCCAGUUUUUAUGAGCACACCUCCUUGUUUGGCAGUCACUCCAGCUUUUCUUUCCUUUGCUCCCAUUUUCCCUCUCUGUAUCUUUCUCUGUAUCAGCCUCCUUGUCUUUCUCAAAGGUGUGAAUUUGAUUCGAACCAUAUGUUCAGCCCUGGCCUUGAGACGCAGCCAGUGUUUCAUUUUAUAUAAUUCUUAAUUCAUAGUCCCUGCAGAGAGGAUAAAGCAGGACUCCAACACACCUGGAAUCACUCUGAGUUUAAAGACAGACAGGUUGUGCCUUUUCAGCCAAUACUGCGUUUUUAUUUGUGUGAGCAACAUAUCUCUUUUACCCCUGAAUACUACGUACAUUAACAGUAUUAUGUACCAGGGCGUUGAAAAAAUAUGCAAAACACUUAAAACCUUUUAACUUAAAGCUCCUGUGAGCAACUUUGAGUUUUUGUUGAUUUUGGCAUCCCUGUGGACAAAACCGUCAUUGCUUAUUUUGAAUAGUACAGGCAUUAUCGGUUAUGACAAAAACAUUAUCCUGCUGUAUUUGAAUAGUUAAACAACUUUUAUUAAGAAUCUUUGCAGGAGGUUAGCGUUCGACUUUACUCCUGCAGGUUACCGAUCAAAGAACAUACACAGCAAUAACAAUCCUCUAAAACUAACCCUGCUUGAGCUAAAACACAUGGAAACUGUUUCAGUGAAGGUAAAAUACGAUUUUAGCUGCAGUACAUUUAAGUGUUGGCAUCUGCUGAGGAGCUUUUCUGAAGUGAUUUUAACACCAAACUGGGUUUAGCCGUCCUUCCUAUGAUUAUAAUACUAAUAUCAUGGCCGCGAGGGACAGUAAUUGAUGAAUUAUCGGAUUAUUGCCACAGGUGGACUAAGUAGAAACGAUGCAGUCUAAGGAAAGAACUGGUUUUAAAGAAAACAGGUUGGCCGGCCUUUUUUCAUUUUCUCAAUUUGGAAGACAAACAUUUGUAAACAGUACUAUUAGUGUUCCUGUGUCAGUUGUAAACACUCAUUAUGGCUUCAAACAGACUUCAAACGUCCUGUCUUAACUGCUGUCUUUGAAGCUGUUCAUACAUUUCAAUAUUUGCUCUCUAACAUCCAGUUUCUCUUCCAGACUGAGCAAAUCUGAGAAUUUUUACAAGUUCAGUUGUUAUCAUAACUGAUAAAAAUGACUGCAAUAGCCCAAAAACCUCGGUCAAACACAAUCUUUUCUUUUAAAGCAAAUGGAGACUCUGAUAAUGACUUUCUAAAUGUACAAAUACUGAAUUAUUUCUACCGGUUUCAUGCGUAUGUAGGCAUAUUCAUUCAUUUCUGUGGGGAUCACUGUGAUACAUGAUGUGAAACUCCUUCCCCGCCACAACUUUGGUCCAUAAUCUGCCUCUGGUGAAUUCAGAAAAUGCUAAUUUAGUGGACGAUUUUAAGAAGAGUGAAUGAUAGUGGGCUAGCUUAACUUCGUGCUGUUAACUAACAAUCAGGCUGUUUCCCUCAAUUCAGUCGCUUAUCUUGAUGGCUGAUUAUAAAAAAACUGCUUCCUGCACAUAUUCCAAAGUGAUGGUGAAAAACGAACAAAAUUAGUAUUCUUACAAUAGCUAUAGAUAGUUUCUACUGGGUUUCUAUCAUGUGUAAAUAAGGCACUUUGACAAGAGGCAUUAUCAGUAUAUUUACAUUUCAGACAGUGCAGUGGAUGUUAAAAAUGCAGAUGGUUGCUUAGACCUGUAUAACUGUGAGAAAUCUUUAUUUAUGGGAUUUUUGGGGUCAAAGAGUCAGCUAGAAUAAAGACAGAUUGCAGACCAAUAUAUUACAUAAUUGCAUCAAAAGGUUUCUUUAAGCAAAGUGGCAUCAGAUUUGAAUUUCAGAAGGAUACGCCAAAGCUUAUUGACUUUUAGAAGAUUAAAUCAAUGUAUUAAUUUGCAUCACUAAAGCUUGAGUCAAAUUAAUCUGCAUGUCAUUGGCAUCCUGCCUUUGAGUCCUAGCCAGCGGUUUUAUACAAAAGCCUGGUUUUCAUAUUUGAGGUCACCAAAGCUACUUGAUAGGUGUUUUGGGACGUGUUUAACCCGUCUGUCUCAGCGUCAUGGCAUCCUGCUCUUUGUGUCAGAUUUCAUUUAAUCACUGUUAUUGAUUGCUCCUAAUCACUGCUUUUGGUUUCAUCUCAUUUGGUGACCACCUCUGCAGUAAUAAUGAUACGCCCAGCGCCAUCUGUUCAGAGCGUUAGGCAGAUCUCGUUAUCAGCCAUGUGGCACCAAUUCCCUGCAGACAUGCCCAUACAACGCUCUGCUCAUCCAGUAUGGAGAUGAUCCUGUCCACCACUUCAGUACUGGUUCUUACAGGGUUAAAAUGCGUGCUGGUGUAUGUGUUUGCUGGGGAUGGAUGUAGGGGAGAGGGAUAAGUGCUGAUGUCUUGACACCAUUGUCAAAAAUGUUAAUGGUGGUGAUAUUUUUUUCAGUAAAUUUGACCGAUUUAGUUCCUGUCUGCUCAUAUUUGCAGGUUAGAUUAGGAUGCUUCCUUAUCAAUGUCUGAAUGAAUUUUAUGACAACAUGCAAACUCAAGGGUAACUCUCAAACAACCGUCCACAAACACAACAGAGCAGUCAUCAAACUAACCGUGAUGAUGAGCGUCUGAAUUGUCACUGAGGGCGGGUGCCCCAGCAGAGGACACUGAACUGAUAAUGGGUCCUCUGUACUCUCCCUGAUGGCUCACAGUUUUACAACCUUUUACUGUCUGGUGGUAACUCAGUGCCAACAGAUGUGUUUACACAACCUUUAUUACCUGUUAUUAACGAGCUGUCAGCAUGUGUGUGUGUGUGGAAACAACUGAAGGUUUACCUCAAAAACAUGUGCGGAGAGCUCCAGGUGAUUAGAACUUAAUAUGGAAAUGUGGAAAUAUGAGAAAAUAAGAGAAAAAAACAUGUGUGGGAGCUAAACUUGUCAGGCGGUGAACUUUGUAUCGAAGCAUCUUAAUUAAAAUUUGGAUAUCAUUUCAUGUUCUUUCAAGUCAAGUGUUCCCAGACAUGUUUGAUUUUGCAUUAGCUUGGCACAAAGACUGGAUGUUCUAACUAGGUACAGCUCAAGCCAAGAGUUAACAUCACCUUAAUAUACCCGUCCUAAAACUGGCUCCAAAUAAGUAGCCUGUUAGAAAGACAGCUUGGACAUUUACACACUGUUUUUGUUUUGAAGUUCUCUGCUCCAACAGCCUUGCAACACACUGUUUUGCUCUUUUUUUUCCAUUGCAAACCCAGGGUGUCGCAAUGGACUUUAUCUCUGAAAAUCAUGUUCUUAAUGUGAGUAUGGCUGAUUGUGUCACAUGUAAAGAUUAUAGAUAGCAGGAACAACCAACCCUGAAAAAGGAAAUACCCAGUUAUCAGUGUGCACAAUUCCUCUUAUUUUUCACGAACAGAAGAAGACUGAAACAAAAUCUUUGUUUUGACUUCCUCUAAGACAACGUUAUUAGUCUGUUUUCUAUUUCCAAGGAAAUGUCAGAGCUGAGAGAAACUUGAGUUGCUUCGUGUUACUCGAGCUAGUACACACUAGAAGCUGAUUCAAGGUUUUCUGAUAACCUAGAAAGUAAAAAGUGUGUGUAAAGCAAAAACAGGUAGAUAAGGUAUUUGUAGAGUAAAACUCAGGAAAUGGCGAAAUAAACUGUGCCACACAAAUACAUGUGAAGAUAUGAUAAAAGUGCUGUUGAGGGAAGUGAAGUGUAACUGUGGUUUUACAAGGAAGGAACUACAUGACAUGCUACAACUACUGCGCAUCACAGACUUCUUCAAACGAAACAAAACAAACGUUUCACUCUGACUGAGCUUUUAUAAAGCAACAUGUUUACACGCUCAAGGCUGAAAUGUUGUGAUAGUGCCAUACUGCUGUGUCUAAGGUUGUCUGUUGAAUCAAUUCAUGGUUUACAGUUGUUUCUAUUUUCAGACUGAUCAGAAGUCUCAGAAGUGUAAAGUCGUAGGGCAGUAAAAAUCUGCAAGGCCAUUGAGCCGUUUGUAAAUCAGCAUAUUUACUCAUUUCACUGUGUCCCCACACAUAGACAAUACCUGGUUGGCUGCUCAGGUAUUAUUUUGUCCCUUUUUUAAUCCACCUAAGAUUACAAACCAUUUAGAUGAAGAUGAUCUCCUAUCUCUUGAUAAUCUGCUGUAGUAAGACGAGACACUCUGCUGUGUAUAGUGAGAGGAAAACUCCAGGUACAGUGCAUGUGUAUGACAACAAAGUGUAUUUAAUCUAAUCCCUGACAUGAUAAUCAUAAUUAUAGAAGACAUAUAUAGUAUUAAUAGAGUAUUGUAUUCAGUCACUUUAGGCUAAGGGAUCUGCACAUCUAUCUAUUAACACAUAGGAUUGAUAUAAAUGCAAAGACUGUGUUCACAGCUUUUGCAGCUUGUUUUUAAGAUCCUGUCCUUUCUCCUAAGACUUAUCAAAGGGUUUUGUGAGGGUCAUGUGGGAAUAAAGAAAAAAAAUGUACACAUUCAGGCACAGAGCUCCAAAAGUUUCUACCAAUCAUCAAAGCUUGUGUGAAAGAGGCGACUUUGUUAUCAAGAAAGUGCUCAUAAAUCGGUGCCAAUCUGUUGUGUGACAGCGUUUGAUCUUCCCGACUCAACUUUGACAGAGGAGACAGAUGGCUGUAGUGUAAAUAUGGAACAUUCUGGUAUUUUUCUGCACAUGUUUGAAGGGAAAAUGAUAAGGGAUGGUAUGUAAAAGACUCUGAGUGUCUGUUUAUUUUCUGCCCGUCCACAGUUUGUUGCUGUUUCUGGUUGGCUGCAGCCAAAGCUUUAGAAAAGGCCACAGCUGCAGGCUGUAGUGCACCAUACAGACCACUGCAAUCAUAGAGGAGCAUGUUGGGCAAGCAAACAGCUACAGUGGACACUCAGGGGAGUGUGUGUGUGUGUGUGUGUGUGUGUGUGUGUGUGUGUGUGUGUGUGUGUGUGUGUGUGUGUGUGUGUGUGUGUUUAGUUAUGGACAGCUGCCAGUGGAAGGACAGAACAGUAAGGGGGGGUUGGUUGUAUAUCAGUGUUUGCUCUGGAUCGGCGCCAAAAGGGUCCUCUGUUUUUUUACAGCCUUCGAUUAAAAAAAUGAUAGAGACUGACUGAAGAAGAGGAGAAAAAAAGGAGGAAUAGAAUAGAGGAAAAGAAGGCAGACAGGUAGGAGAAACAAAGAGGUGAGGAGAAAUGUUUGGGGGAAAAGAGGAGCGAUGUAAGAAAAGGUCAAGGAGAUUGUCAGUACAGUUUGACUGACUGUCAGUGUGUUUAUAAGAGGGUUAGAGCAGCAGUAUGAUAAAGAGAGAAUAAAGGAGUGAAUAGAGGUGAAGAAACUGACAGGAAAAUGGAAACAGGAAAAGGAAAAGAAAGGGCAAAAGGAACAAUGAGGGGAAGGAAAAGGAGAAGGAGGAAAGAAGAGGAACAUGGCUAAAGGUGCUCUCUAAAUCUUCGUACUGAUGUGAACAGAUGACAGUGAUUUAAGAGUAAAGAGGUUCAACAAAAGUGUGAGAGAGCUGACACAGUGACUUUUUAUCAUAAGAGAAAGGUUAGGUCACUUUUUUCUCCUUAAACUUUGGCGGUUUACUCUUUUUGUAACUUAUCAGCUAGAGAAACAAGGUGAUCAAAGAAUUAGAAAUAACUAUCAUUCUGGAUAUAUUUAUGUUUCCACUUUCAUCACUAAUGUGAUUAGAAAGCUACUUAAUCAAGGCAAUUCAG